rnacentral:rRNA from 1 species
UCCCCUGCUAACUAGUCGGUUGGAUCUUGCUCGGUGAGUCGUGCACCGGUGGUGCUCGGCGGCUCGGUAAGUUUCGGGUGUGCGUUGUGUGCGUGCAGUUCGCUGUUUCGUGCCCGUGCAUUUGAAGCCCCGGUCGUUGGAGGCCUCGGAUCGUACACUCCAAGUCCACCGCUUAUGAUAUAACUCUUCUUAGAGGGAUCCACGGCUCUGAAGCCGUCAGAGACUGAGAGCAAUAACAGGUCUGUGAUGCCCUUAGAUGCUCUGGGCCGCACGCGCGCUACAAUGCCGGGCACAGCAGGUUCUUUUCCUGCUCCGAGAGGAGCGGGCAACCCUCUGAAAGCCCUUGAUCACACUCGUUUUAAGUAACGAAUGGCGUGCUUGGGCCUGGGGCUUGCAAUUAUUCCCCACAAACGAGGAAUGCCUAGUAGCGGCGAGUCACUGAGCUCGCUGUGACUCAGUCCCUGCCCUUUGUACACACCGCCCGUCGCUACUACCGAUUGGGUGUACCAGUGAGAGCCUUGGACUGGCGGCCGUUGCCUUCGGGCAAGCGGAUUCGACGGAAAGAGGUCCGAACUGGUGCACUUAGAGGAAGUAAAAGUCGUAACAAGGUUUCCGUAG